GGGGAUGUACUGGUUUCGACAUGUAUCCUUUGGCAUAGAUUGCAGUCGAGUUGUGACGUAAUCACAAACUUAAAAUUAUCUGGCAACAGAAAUUUCAAUUACGCUUUUGCUGCUUAGUCAGUAACUCUAUAUAGAGUUUGCGUGGGGCUUAAUUAAUUUACUCCUGGUUAAUUAACGCUUCUCAAUUUAGGGAGUUAGGUCUUGUUCGAUGAUUAUGGGACAAGAAUGAAAAAAUAUAAUCUAGUGGUGUAAAGUUCGUUGAGAUUGAUAAACCAUGAAAUUUAUAACCUCAAAUAAACUGUAGUGGUCUUUGUAGGGGGAUAUGUGGACCGGAGUUCGACUCUCCGCAUCUCCACCA
rnacentral:tmRNA from 1 species